rnacentral:rRNA from 1 species
UGCAGUCGACGAUGAUCCGGUGCUUGCGCCGGGGAUUAGUGGCGAACGGGUGAGUAACACGUGAGUAACCUGCCCUUGACUCUGGGAUAAGCCUGGGAAACUGGGUCUAAUACCGGAUAUGACUCCUCAUCGCAUGGUGGGGGGUGGAAAGCUUUUGUGGUUUUGGAUGGACUCGCGGCCUAUCAGCUUGUUGGUGAGGUAAUGGCUCACCAAGGCGACGACGGGUAGCCGGCCUGAGAGGGUGACCGGCCACACUGGGACUGAGACACGGCCCAGACUCCUACGGGAGGCAGCAGUGGGGAAUAUUGCACAAUGGGCGCAAGCCUGAUGCAGCGACGCCGCGUGAGGGAUGACGGCCUUCGGGUUGUAAACCUCUUUCAGUAGGGAAGAAGCGAAAGUGACGGUACCUGCAGAAGAAGCGCCGGCUAACUACGUGCCAGCAGCCGGCGGU